rnacentral:lncRNA from 1 species
ACUGCUUUCAUAGUAUUAUCUGUUGUUGUAUAUUUUACUCUGGUUAAUAUCUAUUACAUUAUAGGUUUUGUACCUAUAUCCCCCCUUUUUUUCCUUUCAACGUACCACAAACUUCAAAAGUAUUCCAUAUAAAUAAAAGAAGAUGUGAUAUGAUUGCAAAUGAGACAACUCUCAAAUUGAGACCAAAUAAGACAUAAAUUAACAAUUAUAGGUCCCGUACGGGCUUCAACAAUGAGUAAAAUUCAUACUGCAUAGUCUUCAAUUCCCGAAAUGAAUAAUGUAAAACAAACGAAAAAUCUAACGGCCUGAUUAAUGUACAAAAUAAAUAAGAAAGAAACAAAUAUAGUAUAUAGAAACAAACGACAAACACUGCAUUACCGUCUCGUGACUUGAAACAGACACAUACAGAAUGCGGCGGGGUUUAA